rnacentral:rRNA from 1 species
AUGAACGCUAGCGGCAGGCCUAAUACAUGCAAGUCGAACGGUCAGUAGCAAUACUGAUAGUGGCGCACGGGUGCGUAACACGUAACUAACCUACCUAUAACUGGGGGAUAGCCCGCCGAAAGGCGGAUUAAUACCGCAUAAGCUUGUGAAGUGGCAUCACUUUAUUAGUAAAGAUUUAUUGGUUAUAGAUGGGGUUGCGGGUCAUUAGCUAGUUGGUAAGGUAACGGCUUACCAAGGCGACGAUGACUAGGGGAGCUGAGAGGCUGGUCCCCCACACGGGCACUGAGAUACGGGCCCGACUCCUACGGGAGGCAGCAGUAGGGAAUAUUGGGCAAUGGGCGAGAGCCUGACCCAGCCAUGCCGCGUGCAGGAAGAAGGCUUUCUGAGUCGUAAACUGCUUUUGACAGGGAAGAAUAAGCAUUACGUGUAAUGCGAUGACGGUACCUGCAGAAUAAGCACCGGCUAACUCUGU